rnacentral:lncRNA from 1 species
CUAGCUCAGACAACUCCACAUAAGUGGGCCUUUUCACGCAGAACGGGGUCGCUUCUGCGACCAUCCUUCUGUAGAUGCAGAAUCACAGGUUUUUUUUUUGCAUGUUUUCACCCUUUUUUGCUCAAUUCCACUCCAAUUGAAUUCAAAUCACUUCAUGGCAUCAUUUACCUAAAACUCUAACAAUACACACCAUAAAAGACCUCAUAUUAUAGUUAAAGGACAUAAAAGCUAAAGAAAAGAGACUAGAAUGAGCGGUAAAAUCACCACUCAUCAGCCGGCUGAAUUAAUAAGAAUUGCAAGUAACGGAAGAGAAUAGAGAGCUUUUGAGAGUGUUAGAGUGUAGAUGAACUAGUGUUCGUGUCUCGAAGUAAGGAGUAAAGGAGAGUAUAUAUAGCAAUUAAGAGCAAGGAAAAAAUAAGGUAAAGGGAAUCAACCCUUCUGCAAUUAAGGAAGCCACAAAAUCAAUUAUACAUUAGUUAGUAUAAUUUUCCCUUAAUUAAGGGUAAUCAGCCAACGGUAAAGGUAGAACACAUUUAAGGAAAGAAAAUCAAUGAGCAAUUAGGGGUAAAUUGAUAGGUUUUUAAUUAAGGAAAUAAUUGGUAACGAAUCAGUAAAUAUCACAAUUAAUCAAAUAUUGUAAGAAAGCGGCUCAAGAUUAUAAAUAAGGAAAUAGUCAGGAAUGGGUCUUACCAAAACAAAUAGAUAAAUCAAGAAUCCAAAUCAAUCAUUGAUUUAAGGAAAAAGUAUAGGUUUACCAUGAAUAGGUAAAAAAAUGAACAUAGACAUAUGGAAUUAGUAGAAGAGUCGAACAUCAAUAGAGGUACAUUAGGACCAAAAAACAUCGAAUUAGGCUAAGAAGAAUCACAGAAACCAAUGUAUAGUACAAAGUCAGUACCCAAGUAACCUAGACAAACUCAGAAACCAAACAAUAAUGUCGAGAAAUUAGGUUUUUUAGCAUAAAUAAGUCAGGGUUAGAGCAAUCUUCAUGACAUCUGUCAAAACACACAAGAAACAGAAGAUUAAACACUCAAAAAUCAUUAAACGUUUUGGAGAAAGAAAAUUUCAGGAAACCCUAGUCUUAGAAGUCAAAAACCUGAAGUACUAUAGCGUUUAAAAUCAGUCAGUAGUAGAGGAAUAAGAGAAACUUAAAGAAAAAUCACAGAAACUCGAGAACAUUUUCAAAUAUGUAGAGAUUCAAGCAGUAGAUAGCAAAGGACCCAAGAUAUAGUGCUAAAAUCGGUUAGCAGUAAAGAAAUAAGAGAUCUUUAAAGAAAAGUCAUUAACAAACUCAGAAUCCUUCCAGAUCUACAAAGAUCAGACGGAUUCAUGACCAAAGAUUAGGGUUUUGAGGAGAAAGGGGAGGGGUAAGGAGAACCUAAUUUUGAACUAGAGAUUUGAACCAUGGAAUUUCAAUAGAAAUCACUCGCAAACCGUGGACGAACCCUUGAAAUGCUUUGAACGAGAUCUGGACCAUAUCUCUUCUAGGUUCUUCCACAAAAGCCACAUAAUCGAAUAACCAAGGAGAUAAGAGACAAGUAGAGGUUUCGUACAACCAUAUGAUGCCAUAGAUCGAAUAGGGAUUCCAAGGUUUGGGGUUGAUUUUGGGUGAUGGUGAUUAGGGUUAGGGGUUGGUUUCAGAGAGAACUGGAGAGGAAGGGAUUCAAGGGCGACUGUGUGUGCGAAAUGGUUAGGAUUUAGGGGUCGUUUGAAACUAAAAAAGAAAGGAUGGAUUGUGGCUGUUGAUCUCUAUGAUCAAUGGCCAAGAUCAAAUAAAAUUGGGGCUGGAUCUAUUUAGGUUAAAUUGGGCUAGGUAGGUUUAGGUUAAAAUUGGGCUGGGUAUUGGGUCAAAAUUGAGGCCAAAAUUGAAAUAAAAUAAGGCCAGAUUUUAAAUAGCAACUUUUAAUAACUAAAUAAUUUAUAAAAUAAUAAAUGAGUACCAAAAAAAUAUCUUUAUGUAUUAAAAUAAUUUUAAAUAGUUAUUUAACAUUUUAAAAAUAUGAAAGAUCAUUUUAUACAUAAAUAAUGUAGUUAUACAUUAGUAUGGGCUGUUUUUGCAAAGAUAUGCAAUUUAGCUUAAAAAUGUAAAUAUAAUUAUGAAAAAUGCACAAAAAUAUUUAAACACUAUGUUGGCAUAAAUAAUGAAUUUAAAUGGCUAAAUCACCAUAAAAGUAAUUUGAACGAUAAUUAUUGGAUAUUUAUAUAAAUAAAAAGAGAAGAAAUAAAUUGAUUUGGAGCUUUUAAAAUAAUAAAAAUACUUAUGCAUGCUUAUAACUACAUAUUUACUAUUUUGAAAGCAUAUAUACAUAUUUUUAAAAAAUAUAUGAGGAAAAAUUUGGUAUCAACAAUUGCCCCGACGCUUAGACUUUUCUCUUUUAAAUACCUUAGGAUGGGCUAGAACCACCUAAAUUAGAGGUCCCAAAUACCUCCAGGGCCACAAGGAAGGGACAGGUAGUGAACACAUAGGAUAUCACUCAACAGCUGCCCCUCUUUACCCGGGAAUGAUGAAAGAGUUUUCGGGUAAAGAAAUAAUGGCCAAUUUUGACCUGAUGGGAUGUUUUGAAGGACAGAGGCCGUACUCUAGUCUUUGAGCUACCUACAUAUCCCUAGUUUUAUAGGAAUCAGGACAUGUGUAGUUCUGGAUUCAUUGGCGGAAUAUACCGAUGAAGUCAUUGUAAGAAGACACGAGAUGCAAGAGCAGUUAUGUUGAACGGUUAGGUUUGAGUUAAUUUGAAGGAACUAGAGCGAGGUCACUCCUGCUAGGAUAGUGGUUGCUUGUUGGUCACCCUGUAGAUAAAGAGAUGCUAGAGACAUGUAUUUGUGCGGAAAUUUAAACAUGAUGCAGAUUCCCUUUGGACCAUGAAAGUUGUCUUUGGACGAUUAAGGAUGAUGUACUCAGACCAUGAUAUCCCGGGCCAUGAAUUGUUUAGUGAAGGAUCUGCAGGCCGUGAAAUGAUGUUCUCGGGCCAUGAAGAUGGUGCCUCCGAACAAUGACGCCUUUGAAUAAUGAUAUGCAAAUUUGAGGGAUCCUCAAGCCAUGGCAUGUUGUCUUCCGGCUAUGAGUAGAAUGCCUUUUAGACUAUGAUGCCUUUGGAUAAGUUAGCGAUAUUUCAGCCCAUAAGAUGUAAUAAUAUGAUGCUACCAAAACAAUGCUUAGUCUUGUGAAAUGAAGGGAAGCGCUUAGCUCGAUUGAAAAGCAAGUAGAUAGUACUAGAAUAGAGCAAUAUUUAUGUAAAGGGUCAGUGCUUAGUCCCAUGCAGGUAUGGAGGCAAGGAUUAGCCUCAUGAAGGUAUGAAGGAAAGGAUUAGCCUCAUGCAGGUAUGGAGGCAAGGAUUAUCCACAUGCAAGUAUGGAGACAAGGAUUAGCCUCAUGCAAGUAGGGAGGUAGGGAUUAGUCUCAUGCAGGUAGGGAGGUAUGGAUUAGCCUCACGUAGGUAGGGAGGCAGGGAUUAGCCUCAUGUAGAUGCAGAGGCAGAGAUUAGCCUCAUGUAAAUAUGGAGGCAAGGAUUAGUCUCAUGCAAAUAUGGAGGCAAGGAUUAGCCUCAUACAUGUAGGGAGGCAGAGAUUAGCCUCAUGCAGAUGUGGAGGUAAGGAUUAGCCUCAUGAAAGUAGGGAGGUUGGGAUUAGCAACAUGCAGGUAAGGAGGCAGGGAUUAGCCUCAUGCAAAUGUGGAGGUANNNNNNNNNNNNNNNNNNNNNNNNNNNNNNNNNNNNNNNNNNNNNNNNNNNNNNNNNNNNNNNNNNNNNNNNNNNNNNNNNNNNNNNNNNNNNNNNNNNNNNNNNNNNNNNNNNNNNNNNNNNNNNNNNNNNNNNNNNNNNNNNNNNNNNNNNNNNNNNNNNNNNNNNNNNNNNNNNNNNNNNNNNNNNNNNNNNNNNNNNNNNNNNUGCAGAUAGGAGGCAAGGAUUAGCCUCAUGCAGAUAGGGAGGCAAGGAUUAGCCUCAUGCAAAUAUAGAGGCAGGGAUUAGUCUCAUGUAAAUAUGGAGGCACGGAUUAGCCUCAUGCAAUUAUGGAGGCAAGCAUUAGCCUCAUGCAAAUCUGGAGGCAGGGAUUAGCCUCAUGCAUAUACGGAGGCAGAGGUUAGCCUCAUGCAAGUAUGGAGGCAAGGAUUAGCCUCAUGCAAAUAUGGAGGCAGGGAUUAGCCUCAUGCAAGUAUGCAGGACAAGGCUUAGUCCCAUUCAAAGAGCGAGUAGCAAAUAAGAGUGGUGUAUUUCUUAGUUGGAGAUAUAUUCGGUGUCUGAUGGCCGGAUUGAUAGUGAAUUUGCUUUGUGUAUACAUGUUUGCGAAUUCUAUCGCUACGUUUAAUGUGCCUGCGUUCAAAGAAAAAUUGUGAGUUUUUUUAGGGGGAGGUUGCUUCGCACUUCUAUUUGUUGGCCUUGCUUUGUCCGUUCUGAAGGCCUUUUCGAGUUUCACUAGGUAAUAUCUCGCUGUUACCGAAACAUAGUUUUCAAAAAAUAUGCGAUUAUUGAUAAAAAUAGAGUUAUUUUAGAAAACAUAGUGAAAUAUCAAGUAUUUUCGAUGAACUAGUGAUCGUAACAUAUUUUAGAGACAUUGCCACUCCCUCAUGUUAGAAUUUUAAGGGUCUUCCUCAAAAUUCUGCCCCAGUUUGGUAAAUGAUCCUUCGGUUGUUUGCGGGUAACGAGCCUUGUUGAUCCUUCCUCAAAUUUUGAGAAUCCUUCUCAAAAUUCUGCCCUAGUUUCUUAAUCGAUUUCCGGCUGUUUGACAUACGCUAGUGUUGGCUGGACUUGCUCGGAAUUUUGAGGGACCUUCUCAAAAUUUUGCCCCAGUAUCUGAUCUUGGGGGAAAUGGAAAUUUUAUUAUGAUAUGAUCGAACCUAUAAGGCUGCCUACGUAUCCCCUCUUAAAUGGGAAUCAGGUCAAGUGUAGUUCAAUUACAUCAGAUGAGGAAAUGUAAAUAAUCUAAGAAUAGUAUCUUUUCACUGCGUCUAAAUUGAUUGGUUUUGGCCAGAUUUCUCAAUCCAUUUCUGCGAGUAUGAGUGCUCCUCCUGUUAACACCUUGUGAACCAUGUAAUAACCUUGCCAGUUGGGAGAGAAUUUCCCUUUGGCUUCAUCUUGGUAUGAGAAAAUCUUCUUUAACACUAACUGUCCUGGUGCAAAUUUGCCUUGGUUUGAUCCUUUUGUUGAAAGCUCUAGACAUUCUGUUCUGGUAAAGUUGACUGUGACAUACUGUGUUCAUUCUUUUUCCAUCUAUAAGGAUCAAUUGUUCAUAGCGGCUUCUUAUCCAUUCUACAUCGCUGAGUUCAGCUUUCUGUAUGAUUCUUAAAGAAGAAAUCUAUACCUCGGCUGGGAUGACAUCCUCGGUACCAUAAACCAGCAUGUAAGGAGUUACCCUGAUUGAUGUGUGAACCGUAGUGCGGUAUCCUAAUAAAGCAAAAGGUAGCUUCUCGUGCCAUUAUUUGUNNNNNNNNNNNNNNNNNNNNNUGUUUGAUUUUGAAAGUUUCACACAUGGAUUUCAUCAUAUCACUGUUGAGAUUAGCAACAUUAUCGGUAACAAUGGACUCGGGUACUCCGAAUCGGCAAAUGAUAUGAUCUCUGACAAAAUCUGCAAUGACUUUCUUGGUUACAGCUUUGUAAGAUGCAUCCUCUACCCAUUUUGUGAAGUAAUCAAUGGCUACCAGAAUAAACCUGUGUCCGUUUGAAGCAGUUGGCUCAAUCGGACCGAUGACAUCCAUUCCCCAGGCGGCGAAUGGCCAAGGUGAGCUUGUGGCAUUGAGCUCAUUUGGCGGUACUUUUAUCAUAUCAGAGUGCACUUGACAUUGGUAGCAUUUGCGGACAUAUUGGAUGCAAUCUGUCUCCAUGGUCAUCCAAAAGUAACCAGCCCUAAGUAUCUCUUAGAAAAGACAAAAUCAUUCAUGUGCGGACCGCAGGUCCCAGCAUGUAUCUCCUCAAGUAGCUUAGAAGCUUCUCUUGUGUCGACACAUCUUAGUAAUCCCAAAUUGGGAGUUCUCCUAUACAAGUUUCCUCCGCUGUGGAAGAAGUGAUUGGACAAUCUCCGGAGUGUGCCUUUUUGAGUGUGGUUCGGAUGCUCUGGAUAUUUCCUUUUCGCCAGAUACUCCUUGAUGUCAUGGUACCAAGGUUUUCCAUCUGUUUCUUCUGCAACAUGGGCACAAUAUGCCGACUGAUUAUGAAUUCUCACCGGAAUGGGAUAAAUAUAAUUCUUAUCUGGUUGUUGUAUCAUGGAUGAUAAAGUGGCCAACGCAUCGGCAAACUCAUCCUGAAUUCUAGGCACAUGCCGGAACUCUAUCUUUGUGAACCUCUUUCUCAAUUCCUCCACAAUGUGCAGAUAUGGAAAUAUCUUGGAAUUUUUGGUGGCCCAUUCUCCUUGUACCUGAUGCACGAGCAAAUCUAAAUCACCGAUUACCAGCAGCUCCUAAAUAUUCAUAUCGAUUGCUAUAUUGAGUCCUAGUAUGCAGGCUUCAUAUUCCGCCAGGUUGUUGGUGCAGGGAAAUAUGAGUUUAGCAGAUACCGGAUAAUGUUGACCUAUUUCUGAUACCAAAACUGCUCCAAUGCCUACUCCUUUGAAAUUUGCAUCUCCGUCAAAGAACAUCCUCCAACCGUCGUAUGCUUCGGUAAUGUCCUCUCCUAUGAAUGACAUUUCUUCAUCAGGAAAAUACGUUUUCAAGGGUUCGUAUUCUCCUCCCAGCGGGUUUUCAGCAAGAUGAUCUGCCAGUGCUUGCCCUUUGACUGCCUUUUGAGUUACGUAGACGAUAUUGAACUCACUCAACAGUAUCUGCAACUUGGCUAGCUUCCCAGUUGGCAUGGGUUUCUGAAAUAUUUACUUCAAAGGGUCCAUCCUGGAUAUGAGGUGUGUAGUAUAGGCACAGAAGUAAUGCCUCAACUUCUGGGCCGUCCAAGUCAAAGCACAACAAGUGCGCUCUAGUAGAGAGUACCGCGCUUUGUAAGGUAUGAACUUCUUACUCAAGUAAUAUAUGGCUUGCUCCUUUCUUCCUGUCUCGUCAUGUUUUUUCCAGAACACAUUAGAAGGCGUCGUCCAAUACAGAUAGAUAGAGUAGCAAAGGCCGUCCUGACUCUGGCGGGACCAAAACUGGUGGUGUGGAUAGGUACUCCUUGAUCUUGUCAGAAGCUUUCUGACAAUCCUCGGUCCAACUUGUCUCGGCAUCUUUUCUCAGCAUCUUGAAGAUAGGUUCACAUACGACUGUGUACUGUGCUAUGAAUCGACUGAUAUAGUUGAGACGUCCUAGGAAUCUCAUCACAUCCUUUUUGCUCCUAGGUGGCGAUAACUCCUGAAUAGCCUUAACUUUCGACGGAUCCAUCUCGAUCUCUCGACGAUUGACAAUGAAUCCCAGUAACUUUCCCGCGGGAACCCCGAAUGCACUCUUUGCAGGGUUCAGCUUCAAAUUGUACCUCCUUAACCUGUCAAAGAACUUUCUCAAGUCUGCUAUGUGAUCUGCAGCCCUCUUGGAUUUGAUAAUAACGUCGUCCACAUAUACCACUAUUUCUUUGUGCAUCAUAUCAUGGAAGAUGGUUGUCAUGACCCUCAUGCAGGUAGCCCCAACAUUCUUUAGACCAAAUGACAUCAUCUUAUAGCAGUAUACCCCCUUGGUGUAAUAAAAGCAGUUUUUUUCGCAUUUUCUUCGUCCAUCCAGAUCUGGUGAUAAACCGUGAAGCAAUCCACAAAGGAUGGGAGUUCAUGCUUGGCGCAAUUGUCAAUUAGGAUGUGUAUAUUUGGUAGUGGAAAGUCAUCUGUAGGACUAGCUCUAUUUAAAUCUCGAUAAUCGAUACAUACUCUGACUUUCCCUGAGAACUUUGGCUUUGAUCUGCUUGGUAACUUCCUCCUUUAUCUUCAUGCUCAUAUCUAGUUUAAACUUUUUAAGUUUCUGCUUCACCGGCAGACACAUGGGAUUAGUAGGCAACUUCUGAGCCACUAUGGAGGUGCUCAAACCGGUCAUGUCAUAAUAUGACCAUGCGAAAAUGUCUUCAAACUCCUUUAAGAAACAUAUGUACUCUUCCUUCUUUGUUGGCGAUAAGUGAAUGUUGAUGCGAGUCUCCUUGACGAUCUCGGUGUCCCCCAAAUUUAUUUCUUCGGUCUCGUCCAUGUUGGACUUAGGCUUAUUCUCAAAAUUUUCAGCUUUCCUCACAAAUUCCUCAAGUAUCUCAUCUUCUUCAUCUGAAUCACUAUUCUCAUGUUGCGUUGCCUCAUUACAUGUCACAGUCAAUGGUUCAUCGGGAAAAGUACUAAUAACAUUGUAGAAAGAAAAAGUGUAGAAAAUAGUAACGAAUAAUAAAGAGCAAAUGCAUUUGAUUAAAAUUAAACAACAUCCAGCUAAGUGCGGCUCGAUGAAUCGAGCAUUUAUUUUGAAACAAGUAAGUCUUUAAAACAAAAUUACUGAAAAUCUUAAAUGCCUAGAAUGGAUAUAGAAAUAAAAUUUGCCAAGCUACCUAGGGACUCGGCGGGCCUGGGAUGGUCAGGCGGUCCAGUUCCUGAGAAUAGUUCCCUUCUCCACAUUCUAAAUAGUGAGGCAUUCUUCCUCCUCCUCAAUUAUUUCACAGUAGUCCAUGUAUUUGUCCUCCAAGAACAGAUUCCUCAGCCCCGCUAACGCUUAUUCUUCUAUAGUUCCCCAUAUUGUGUCAGCUUGGUGAGAAGUCUGAUUUAGAUGCGACACUGAUUGCUCGAGAAGGUAAAAGGGUUCGCACUAUGGAGGCCACCAAUCAUUAUACUCUCGCCAUGUGUACUGAUAUCCGAGCCUAAAGGUAGUACCAUGACCCUUUAGUCGUAUCAGUUUAGCGAAACCCUGGAGAUUCUUUCCAAGCCCUUUGUCGGGUUCAUACCCAGACCAUGCCAUUAUGCUCUCUAUUUUACUGCUCCACCAUUUAUCUUUCUCAAUGGCAUUGACACGUUCAAUGUAAUGAUAAGUUUCCCCUCCUAGCCUUCUUCUAUGUCCAAUAACCAGGAUGGUUUGACUGGUGUAAAUGGGGUUACUCUUGUCUCUGUGAAUGAUCACCUCUUGACAAUUCCAUUCGAAUUUCACCGCUUGAUGUAGUGUGGAUGCCACAUCCCCAGCGGCAUGGAUCCAUGGUCGACCCAACAGAAGAUUGUAUGAGGCUGGUAUGUCAAGCACCUAAAACUCGGCGUCGAACCAAGUUGGCCCCAUAUGUAGACAAAGGUUAAUUUACCCGAUCGUGGCCCUUUGAGAUCCGUCAAAAGCUUUCAUGUUCAUGCUUCCUGUCCGUAUUUCAUGAAAACCUUUGUCCAACCUUUUCAAAGUAUCCAACGGACAAAUGUUGAGGCUUGAGCCUCCAUUAACCAAGACCCUGUCAAUAAACUUGUCUUCAAAUUGCACUGUGAUAUGUAAUUCCCUGUUGUGAUUCAACCCUUCAGGCGGUAUCUCAUCUUCGUGGAAGAUGAUUUUAUAAUUUUCCAAUACUUGCCCUACCAUAUUGGCCAUCUCUCCGCCUGUGAUAUUGUUGGGUACAUAAGCUUCACUCAACACCUUCAUUAAAGCAUUCUUAUGCACCUCUAAAUUUUGCACUAGCGACGGGAUGGAGAUUUGAGCUGGGGUUUUGUUCAAAUACUCAAUGACGGAAUACUCCUUUGCCUAUAUUUUCCUCCAAAGGUCAUCUGGACCUGUUUCAAUGACAUACUGCUUGGUAGUGGCAUCUUUACUUGGUCCUCCCAAGUGUUCAGGUGUAUAGAUUAUUCCAGUCCUAGUCAUUCCUUGUACGGCAUCAGAUUCCUCCAUCUUUGCCUUUCUUUUUCACCUAGCUUUGGCAACGUAAUCCCAGGGUAUUGCUUUUGAGUUGAAAGGAGGUGUGGUAGAUACUGUCACUGUGAAAGGUGUGGCCACUUCCACUUCAAAUGCAAUAGGGGUGGCCACAGGUGGGGCUACCUCUACCUCAAAUGGAACUGAUAUAGCUACCUCAACCUCGAUUGGUGACUGAGUCUGUACUACAAUAGGAGUAAGUGUGACAGAGGGUUUAAAGUCAUCGCCCUCCCAAAUAAGGCCAAUCGACCCCUCUAGGUCCCGUUCUUUGUUUGUCUCUAUCACAUGUACCCCACCACCCCUGUGAUCAGGGAGAGGGUUGUUGUAGACAUUGUGUGGAGCUUCCUUUGCCUGUAUGACCUUGUUGGCAAUCAGCGUCUAGAUCUUAUCUUUCAAUGUUCGACACACAUCACUGGUGUGCCCCUUCAUAGUGGAAUGGAAUGCACAAGUUUUGUUUGGAUUGACCCACUGGGAUAGAUUCUCUAAUGCCACAACAGGAAUGGGGGUGACAUAACCAGCGACUUUCAACCUUUCAUACAGUUGGUUGAUGGGUUCAACAAUGGCGGUGUAUUGUUUGGGUGGCUUGCGGUCAUAGUUUUGUCAUGGUCUUGAAAAAUUUUGGCAAGUUGAAGGUGAUUGAAAAUGGGAUGGUUGGGAAUUAUAGGUGUGAUGGACAACGGCUGGUUGGGAAUAUUUAGGAGAUGAGGGUUGUUAUGUGGGUGGUGGUGCUUGAUAUGUGGGUGGAGGUGUUUGAUAUAUGGGUGGAGGUGUUUGAUAGGUAAGUAGAGAUUUUGGGCCUUGAGCCACCAUUACUGCCCCAACGUCUCUCUUCUUUGAUAUGCCGCCUGAUUGUAAUGCCUUAUUUGUGGCUUGUAAUGCCUCAAAAUUCGUUACCAUCCCGUUUUGAUGCCUUCCUCAAUUCUUUCCCCAAGCUUGAUGAUAUCAGAGAACUUAUGGUUUUCAAUGACCAUUAAUCUUUCAUAAUAUUGCGGAUCAUGUGCUCUGACAAAGAACUUGUUCAUCUACUCCUCAUCCAGAGAUGGCCUGACCUUGGCCGCUUCUGACCUCCAAAGAGUAGCAUACUCACGGAAGGUUUCGGUGGGUUUCUUCUUAAGAUUCUGGAUGUAGAAAACAUCUGCUGCAUUCUCUGUAUUGAAGUUGAACUAGUCCAUGAAAUCCGACGCCAUACUCACCCAAUUGGACCAUUUCUUGGGAUCCUGGCUGAUGUACUAGGACAAAGCAUCUCCAGUAAGACUCCUCAUAAAGAGUUUCAUCCAGAUCUUUUCGUCUUUCCCGAUCCUGACAAGCUUGUCACAGUUGGUCCUAAGAUGAACCCUGGGAUCACCUGUGCCGUCAAACAUCUCGAACUUUGGAGGUUUGUAUCCCUCCAGCAGUUCUACAUUUGGCUGUAUGCAUAGGUCUUCAUAGUUCAAACUUUCUAUUCCUUUGCUGCCUUCGACACCUUGAACUCGGCUUGUCAACUUCUUGAGUUCUUCAACUAUGUUUUGAAUGAGCAAGUCCUUCUCGGAGGAUUCUAGGGUAUAGGAGAUUGGUUGGACAGAGUGAGGCACGAUUUCUAUGUAUAUGGGGUAGUUUUGGUGAGUACCCGGUGCCUGGGUGUAAUGGUGGUCAUUGGUAGAGUUUUGAGGAUCGGGAAUAGGUUGUGGUGUGUUUUGGGGAGUGCGGUAAGUGGUGGUUAGUGGGUACUGAAUUGGUUGAUGGUGGUGUUGUGGCCGAAUUGCUAUUGGUAGGGGAUUGCGAUUUUGGGGUGGGGUUGCAUAUUGAUGCGGUGUAGGAGGGUUUUACGGAUGUUGGUUUGGUGUGUUUUGGGGAGGUGCGGGGUUCUUUGUGUUUUGUUGGUUGAUAUCGGGGACAUUUAGGGUGAGUGAAAAGUUUGCCAAGUUGCGGACCUGCUCAAGCUCUCCUUGUAGAUCUAAUAUCUUUUGUUCUAACCUCAAGACUAGAUCAUUCGGUGCCGGGGUACUACGGCUGUCUGAAGUUUAUGCGUUCUCAGCAUUCUCCUUUCGAAUACCACUUAAAUCGUCCAUUUUUGCUUUUCAUUUGCCUUUUGUAUUGCUUGGAGGAGGUGGAGAGUCUCUAGAUUUGGUGUGAUAUGCUGACGAUGUCAGUGUGAGCGAACCAACCUUACGGGAUGGGAGUAAAUAAUAAAUAAAGACAAAAAGGUAAACAAGUCAGUAAGGAUUCUGAAAUGUUUGCAAUAUUUAAACACAUAUUGCGGGAAUAUAAAUUCAUGUCCUAAUUUGGGAACCUCGUUGAGCCUGAGGUAGGCCUAGUGACAAAUAAAUUUGGAGAAUUUUAGUGCCAAUAUCUGCCUCAUUUCAUUAAAGUAAAAGUAAACGAACCAAAACAAAACUAAAUAAGACAAUGUCACUACUGGCUCUUGACCUUAUUACAUUUGAAACAAAAGCAAAUAAAUCUAAUCUACUUGGUCCCAGAAGGACCCUCUCCAGACUGGAUUCUCUUAUCGAUCAAUUCUCCCAUCUCGUGCAGGUUCAACAGUAGGAAUGCCCUUGCAAGAUGCCCUCAUUCGUUCUCUUCAGCGUUCUGGCAGUUAGUGACCCUUUUUCUUAUCUUCCUUUCCAACUCUAUUAAACUGUAUUCCAGGUAUUCUAACCUCUCGCUGGAUUUAACAACUUUGUCUUUCCAUUCGUUAAUCAUCUCCAUAUCAGCCUUGUGCAGUGCCAUAUGCUCGGCUUCAGACUCUCGAACUCUUUUCUGCAGCUUGUUGUACUUCACCUCGGCUUCAACAACCUCGUCUAUGACCCUUUUUCCUGGCUCAACGACCCCAGUUAUGUUGUCCUCCAACACGAAGGUAAAGGUAUGAGUGACCUGCGUGAUAUCGGUCUGGCUCAAUAGUAUCCUUCUCCACAAUAAUCUUUAAGGUCCACAUAUGUUGUGCUUCAUUCCUAUACGAGAUGGCGUCACCUUGGAAACUGGUUCUGAAGUGACACAUUUUGGCGACUCGUGGUAUGAUUUGUCUCCUGCCUACUUCUCUCAUAACCCUGGAGGGAGCAUAAUGGUAUAUGCCCCCGAACCAGAUCACCACCAAGUGCGGAAAAUCCCUGGAUCUAAUGAUGAAUUCAUUGUUAUGGAACCACUCAAACAUCCACUGGACUUGAUCCUCAGUCAAAUUUUCAAAAAGUUGUACCCAUCCUACAGCGUCCUCUGGCUGAGAAACAUGUCUAGAAUAUAAUCAUUCUUUUGGGAUGAUAUAAGGCUAAAUGAUCAUUACACGGCCUUUGCAGAAAUACUUGAGGGUAUUGCCCCUUUUGGAGAUGUUCCAACAACCAGACCUAUAGUAGUAAGUUGCAACCCUUGAAGAACUUGAACCCCUUCUAGCACCGCUCCAAAGCCCGGUACAUGUCUGCAACAAUCAUAGGGAUGAUAGUGUAUAUCUCCCCCUCGAUCCCGUCCAUCAGAGUUUUCGUCACCAUGACCAACCUAGUAUGGAUCCUAUCCCCUUGGAUUGGGAAUACCAGCAUGCCCAAGAAAUACAUGAUAAAUACGAAGACCCUACGAUGAAUCCAACCUAAAGAAGUGAUUGAGAACUCAUCAUCAAAGAGGCGGUAAGAACUGUUGUGACAGUAUCUUUCGUAAAGGAACUCAAAAGGUAUGUAGGAGUCCUUUAGGCAUUUCAAGUUGUCAUUUUCCUUCAGCCCUGCCAUCUUCAGAAAUCCCCUAGGGUCAUGAGGUGCUAACAGAUUAGGACUAUCCCAAGGUAACCCAACAAAUCCUCCUAUCUCUUCUAAAAGGGGUGUCAUUUCUAUGUUCCCAAAAUGGAACACAACCCUUUCCUUGUCCCAAAACAUAGUUGCAGCCUCGAUCAGCAUUUUGUUGAGCUGAAGGUCCAUCAAAGAAGGCAAAUUUCCUAAAACUUGUUUCUCGUGGGUUUGGUCACAUGAAGUAAGAUCCCUCCACCAAUCUGGCAAAAGUGAGGGUGUGUUAACCAUACCGAAUCUGGGGACCUCGUGCCUCAUUUUCUGCAAAAACAAAGAGAGUUAGGCCCUUUCCCCCUCUAGGUUCGUCUAUUUAUACAGUAAUGAUUAGAAUAUUUGCACUUAUUUCUCCAAAUUAAUGCACAUAAUCGUGGUUACGUCCGUUGAGAUUAUGAAAAACCCGAUGGACUUUUGGACAAGACUUGUCUUAAAGGGUCAUUAUGUGGACAACAUAUUAACUCGGCUAGGUUUGACCAUGAUGCAUGUACGAUUUAAUCAGAGUAAGGUUGCUAUAGAGGUCUAGAUUGGGACCCUCAAGCGGACAACUUGAGGGGGAAAGGCACGGAACCGUCGAACGCACCGCUGAUCGACUAAUUUUACCGCAAAUACGCCUUUCCGAAUUUGAAGGGUGAUAUAUAGGAAGAGCGCAAACACUCACCAAGCGUUGCUAUAUGAUUAAUAACGCACGAGUGAAGUAUGAUGUUGAGCAUGAUUUAUGAAGCAAUAAAUAGCAUAUUGUCAAGUAUUUGCACGUAAGAAAAUAAUAAAUGCAGUAUUUAAAUAAUUGAAGAGACAGUUACAGAAAAAGAAAACAAGGAGACAAGUCAGUUUCAGGAAUAAAAGAAUCAUAAAUGCUUGAAAAUAGACAAUUAAAUUCAAAUAAGGGGAAAGGGUAUGUGGGAUAGAACAUGCUUGGACUAAUUCACAAAAGAUAAGUUCGUUAGGUAAGAGCCUAAAAAUAUCCUAAGCAAAGUCUACAUGCUAUCGCGCCCCCUUUUUUCCCUUUUUGACGGGGAAGUCCGAGUUUCGACAUUCAUGAGGGGAAUAACUCUUUUCCUUUUGGCAAUUGAGUAUUUGAAGAGUCGCCACCUAACGGAUUAUGGUGCGAUAGGGCACCUUGAGCAAUUAACUCAUAGACUAGUUUGCAUUACCAGAUAUUUAGGGUAAGAGCUCGAAAUAACCUUGAGGGGAAGGUGUUAGGCACCCUCGCGAUCCACAACGGUGGGUCCCGGCCGAACUUAAUCUAUGUGAAUUAGACCUUUUACAAAUUAAUAGUUUUAACACGUACUUGCAAGUAAAGGCUUGUUUUGUUAUUCUAAGCACAUGUAUGAUUCAAGUAAUGGAACAAGGGAAAAGGGUUGGAACAAGUUGCACAUAUAAAGAAAAAGUAAAUUUAUUUAAACAACGGGAGUUGGAAAAGAGGGGUCCUAGGUUGGUUAGCCUACAGGAUCAUACCCAUACAAUGCCCGGUAAACACUCUUCAACGAGGGGCUACACGUGACAUUUGUGCGUGAUCAUCAUAUUCCUUACUACCCAAUUCUCUCGCUUUGGUCAUAGCCUAAAGCGUUCUAGCAACCUUGAAUGAUAACCUAUGCGUGCACUACUCGUCUCUUCCUUGUGGCCCUGGAGGUAUUUAGGACCUCUAAUUUAGGUGGUUCUAGACCAUUCUAAGGUAUUUAAAGGAGAAAAGUCUAAGCAUUGAGGCAGCUGUUGUUACCCAAUUUUUCCUCAUAUAUUUUUUAAAAACACGUAUAUAUGCUUUCAAAAUAGUACAUAUGCAGUUAUAAGCAUGCAUAAGUAUUUUAUAAUUUUCCUAUAAUUUUAAAAGCUCCAAAUCAAUUUAUUUCUUCUCUUUUUAUUUAUAUAAAUAUCCAAUAAUUAUCCUUCAAAUUACUUUUGUGGUGAUUUAGCCAUUUGAAUUCAUUAUUUAUGCCAACAUAGUGUUUAAAUAUUUUUGUGCAUUUUUUGUAAUUAUAUUUACAUUUUAAAGCUAAUUUACAUAUCUUUGCAAAAACAGCCCAUACUAAUGUAUAACUACAUUAUUUAUGCAUAAAAUGAUCUUUCAUAUUUUUAAAAUAUUAAAUAACUAUUUUAAAUCAUUUUAAUACAUAAUAAUAUUUUUUUGGUACUUAUUUAUUAUUUUAUAAAUUAUUUAGUUAUUAAAAGUGGUGAUUUAAAAUCUAGCCUUAUUUUAUUUCAAUUUUGGCCUCAAUUUUGACCCAAUGCCCAGCCCGAUUUUAACCUAAACCUACCCAGCACAAUUUAACCUAAACCGACCCGGCCCCAAUUUUAUUUGAUCUCGGCCAUUGAUCAUAGAGAUCAACAGCCAGAAUCCACCCUUUCCCUUUUUAGUUUCAAACGACCCCUGAACCCUAACCAUUUCUCACGCACAACCGCCCUUGAAUCCCUUCCUCUCCAGUUCUCUCUGAAACCCACCCCUAACCCCAAUCGCCAUCACCCAAAAUCAACCCCAAACCUUAGAAUCCCUGUCCGAUCUAUGGCAUCCUAUGGCUGUACGAAGCCUCUACUUGUCUCAUAUCCCCCUGGUUUUUCGAUUAUGUGGUUUUUGUGGAAGAACCUCAAAGAGAUUUGGUCCAGAUCUCGUUCAAAGCUUUUCAAGGGUUCGUCCAUAGUUUGCGAGUUAUUUCUAUUGAAGUUUCAAGGUUCAAAUCUCUGGUUCAAAACUAGGUUCUCUUUACCCCUCCCCUUUCUCCUCAAAACCCUAAUCUUUGGCAAUGAAUCCGUCCGAUAUUUGUAGAUCUGGAAGGAUUCUAAGUUUAUCAACAACUUUUCUUUAAAGAUCUCUUGUUUCUUUACUGCUAACCGAUUUUAGCACUAUAUCUUGGGUCCUUUGCUAUCUACUGCUUGAAUCUCUGCAUACUUGAAAAUGUUCUCGAGUUUCUGUGAUUUUUCUUUAAGUUUCUCUUAUUCCUCUACUAGUAACUGAUUUUAAACGCUAUAGUACUUCAGGUUUUUGACUUCUACGACUAAGGUUUCCUGAAAUUUACUUUCUCCAAAACGUUAAUGAUUUUUGAGUAUUUAAUCUUCUGUUUCUUGUGUGUUUUGACCGAUUUCAUGAAGAUUGCUUUAACCCUGACUUGUUUAUGCUAAAAGCCCUAUUUUCUCGACAUUAUUAUUUGGUUUAUGAGUUUGUCUAGGAUACUUGGGUACGACUUUGUACUAUGCUUUGGUUUCUGUGAUUCUUCUUAGCCUAAUUCGAUGUCUUUUGGUCCUAAUGUGCCUCGAUUGAUGUUCUUGGUUCGACUCUUCUACUGAUUCCAUAUGUUCAUGUUCAUUUUUUUACCUAUUCAUUGUAAAACUAUACUUUUCCCUUAAAUUAGUGAUUGAUUUGGAUUCUUGAUUUAUCAGUUUGUUUUGUUAAGACCCAUUCCUGACUAUUUCCUUAUUUACAAUCUUGAGCCGCUUUCUUACCUUGUUUGAUUAAUUAUGAUAUUUACUGAUUCGUUACCAAUCAUUUCUUUAAUUAAAAAUCUAUCUAUUUACCCCUAAUUUCUCGUUGAUUUUAUUUCCUUAAAUGUAUUUUGCCUUUACCAUUGGUUGAUUACCCUUAUUUAAGGAAAAAUUAUACUAACUGAUGUAUAAUUGAUUCUGUGGCUUCCUUAAUUGCAGAAGGGUUGAUUCCCUUUACCUUAUUUUUCUCUUGCUCUUAACUGCUAUAUAUACUCUCCUUUACUCCUCACUUCGAGACACGAACACUAGUUCAUCUACACUCUCACACUCUCAAAAGCUCUCUAUUCUCUUCCGUUACUUGCAAUUGUUAUUAAUCCAGCUAGCUGUAAGCCAAGGCUGGCUACUUGCACCAUCUCUGCUCUAUACUCUGUAUUUUCUCCUUAACUAGUAUGUUCUGAUUCAAUUCACAUCCCAAAACUAUGUGUUUUCUUUGUUGCUGCAGUUCAUCAGUUAUGAUUUCUAUGUUCUAUUUGCUAUUCUACUCAAUAUGCAAUCAACAUGCCUAGAUUACAGUAUCACACAACAUGUUUAAGUUUAUUCUGUUAAAAGCUAUAGCUAGUAUACUGUUUAGCAUGCCAAACCCGCUUUAAAUAGUUGGUUCACUAGCAUGUCCAAGCUGCAUUAUAUGUUUAUUAUUUUACCCAGCAUGACCAAAUUCUGGCUGUUCUAUAUAUGAUUAGUAUUUCUAAAACCUUGAAUGCUUCAUGAAGUGUUUGUCUAGUUUGAUCAUCUAAGUUCAACUUGCUCUACUGCACUAAUGAGAUCCUAUUUGUGUCUAAGACCUGUGUGUUCUCAACUUAACUAACAAUCUGUGUGUUUGUUUGCCAUCACUAAGGUGCAUUCUAGGUGUCCCCUACCCCUUUCCGUUGUCUGAAGUCUGUUCUGAAACUGUGUGUUCUGUGACUUGCUCUCUGAUCCUAAAAAAUGUUCUUCAUGUUUUCUCAAACUAUUUCUACCAUAACUAUAUAUUGGUUUUCAGAAAAUUCUUUCCAUUAGACCCUCUUGCUACUGCUUAUCAAACUCUUUCAAAUCAUUAUGCACUCUCACAUUACUCUUAGAUUGCUAAGUCCUGCCCCUCUGAUAUGUGUACUGCUUUUAGACCCUAGAGAUCUCUCUGAACUCUGGCAUAUCAGAGAUGGCACUUCCACACUACACAUAAUCAAUCUUUGUUUGAGUAAAGUCUGGGUGUGAGCACUGCCCGGGAUCCUUGAGGUCCUUAGGGAAAUUUGACCCACCUAGACAUGAAUUGGGCUAUGGAACUUUGGGUAUUUGAGAUCAGUAAAGGCUUGGUACACCAUGACUAUUUUGGGCCUGCUUCAAGCUCCCUAUAGCUUAAUUUCUGUUCUAUUUAUGUAAUUCAUUCAAUUCUUGGUUUGUAAUAAUUAAUUGUAAACAAACAAUGGGGUGAUUAGUGGAAAGGGAGGGUAGUUGUAUAUUGCGGGCAAAAUUGGGUAGAUACCAUGCCUAUAGGGCCCUUAUUGCUUCAAAUGUGUUUGUUAGAUAACAUACCAACAGGAUCCGCUUUGGUUUAAAGAAGUUCUAUUUGCUUUACUUCCACACAAUUAGAAACCAUGCCUAUUGGAUUUAAAUUAACUUUUAAUAAUUAGAUAUCAUGCCUAUAGGAGUUAAAAUCAGCCUUAAUAGAAAUCAUACCUAUAAGGGUUUCACUGUGGUCGAAUUAAUUCUGCUUGCUUCACCUUAUGUUUAAUUAGAAAUCAUGCCUAUAGGACUUAAACCAGUUAAAUUAGAAAAUCGAUUUAAUUCAUGUUUAUUCUGAAUCGGUUUAAGUAACUAAUCUAUCCGCUUGUUUAAUAAGUUUUAACGUUGCCCUAAGAAAGCAUGCCUAUAGGAUCCCAAAGUGCCCGUUUAAGAAUUGUUUACUUUUUUACUGCAUUCCUAAUCAGUAGUUGAUACCAUGCUCUUAGGACAUCACUAUUAUACGCCUAGGCAAGCCUAUAUGGCGAUUAAAAUCCUGCAACUAUAAAACUGCGCUUUGUUAUUUGAGACUACUCACAUUCAACAUGUCUAAAAUCAGUAGGCAAGCUGAAUAGGCCUUUGACACUUUGGUCCUAAUUCAAUACUGUACAAUCUCUGCUCACCUAGAUAUCAUGUUCUAAGGUUUUCUCUUAAAUAUUUGAAACUAUUGUUUGAGACGUGCACUUAUAUGUUAUGUUUGUGGAGGUAAAUGCGAGCCUUUAAUUAUUCUCUUCAAUGCAAUCCUAAUUGUUUUGAUUGACGCUUAGACUUUUCUCCUUUAAAUACCUUAGGAUAGUCUAGAACCACUUAAAUUAGAGGUCCUAAAUACCUCCAGGGGCACAAAGAAGGGACGGGUAGUGCACGCAUAGGAUAUCAUUCAAGGUUUCUAGAACGCUUUAGGCUAUGACCAAAGGGAGGAAAUUGGGUAGUAAGGAAUAUGAUGAAUACGCGCUAAUGUCACGUGUAGCCCCUUGUUGAGGAGUGUUUACCGAGCAUUGUGUGGGUAUGAUCCUGUAGGCUAACCAACCUAGGACCCCUCUUUCCCAACUCCCGUUGAUUAAAUAAAUUUACUUUUUCUUUAUAUGUGCAACUUGUUCCAACCCUUUUCCCUUGUUCCAUUACUUGAAUCAUACAUGUGCUUAUAAUGACAAAACAUGCCUUUGCUUGCAAGUACGUAUUAAAAUUAUUUAUUUGUAAAAGGACUACUUCACAUAGCUUAAGUUCAGUCGGGACCCACUGUUGUGGACCGCGAGGGUGCCUAACACCUUCCCCUCAAGGUUAUUUUGAGCCCUUACCCUAAAUCUCUGGUAAUGCAAACUAGUUCAUGAGUUAAUUGCUCAAGGUUCCCUAACGCACCAUAAUCCGUUAGGUGACGACUCUUCAAAUACCCAAUUCCUAAAAGUAAAUGAGUUAUUCCCCCCAUGAAUGUCGAAACCCGGACUUCUCCAUCAAAAAGGGAAAAAAGGGGGCGGGACACUUGUUUCACUAAAUUCCGACUCCAAAUCAAUGUUCAAAACUCAAAAAUUCAUAUUAUGAAACUUUAGGCCAAAACCCCCAAUUUCCUCUUUAAAUUCAUCAACCAAAAGCUAAAAUUGAAGAUAGAUUCAUGAAACAUAACCAAAACUGAGUAGAGAACACUUACCCCCAUUCAUAUGGUGAAAAUAGCUUCAAGAAUCGCCUCAAUCUGAGCUCUAUAGCUAAAAAAUGUAAAAAUGACCGAAACCCUCGAAAUAGAGUACUUUAUAACCACUGAGCAACUUAAUGCAUCGCGAUCGCGAAGAAGAAAACUUAUACUCCUGUAAAAUGCCAUAAACGAUCGCAUAUGUCAGCUCGCGAUCAUGGUAUACACAGCUAACAAAGCUAUGCAUUCGCGGAAGAAACCUUGCGAACGCGAAGAUAUAACCAACACUGCCUCAGCUCAAACCCAAACACAAUGCGAACGCGUUCUCAACAUCGCAAAUGCGAUGCUUAACUGCCAUAACCUAUGCGAACACGGACCAUCACUUGCGAACACAUAGAAGAAGAAUUAGCCUGCUCCACUUUUCCUUUAUGCUAUCACACCACUAAGUCCGCGAUCGCGAUGAAGAAAUGCGACACCAGAUAUCAGCAGAACACAACAGUGAAAAAUGAAGGAAAAAUAGUUUGAAACCCGUCCGAAACUCACUGAGCCCCUCUGAACCAUGUCCGAACAUCCCAACAAGUCCCAUAAUAUAACACGGACCUUCACGAGGCCUCAAAACACACAUAACAAUAUCGAAUCGACGAAUCACACCUUAAUUCGAAAUCAAUGAACUUUAAAACUUCAAACUUCUACAACCGAUGCCGAAACCUAUCAAAUCUUCACAUUUGGCAUUACGGACCUGCUCCAACUUCCAAAAUCGGAAUCCAAACCCGAUAUAAAAAAGUCCACUCCCGGUCAACCUUUCGAAAAUUCCAACUGUCAUAUCCCUUUUUUUUGCAAAACCUCACUAACCCUCUUAAAUAAAUAAAAAGAUUUCGCAAAGCUCGAAAGAAAUUUUCAAUUUUGAAAGUGACAAAAGAUAGUGUUCAAAAGGAUUAACUCAGAGUCGCCACCUGACAUUUGAUUUCGGUGUGUCAGGUCACCGUUUUUCUAAAAAUAAUUUUUUUUUUCCUUUCAAAACACUUGAGACUCCAAAACUAAGUCUACACAAGAGAUUCGGGUAAGGAGGUUCAUUUGACUCGGGGAGAAGGUGUUAGGCACUCCCCAAGUCCCGUAACUAGUACGGUUGCAUACUUGAUCUAGUUAGCUUUUAAAAUAUUCAAGUUGAGGUAAAAUCACGAAAAAGCAAAAUAAACACACAUGAGGCUCGAGGUUGUCCCCACCUAAUAAAAGAUGAAUAAAAAUAAAAAUAAAAACACUACGAGUUCUACUAUCGAUCUCCAAGUACAAAUACUUCGGGGCAUACCCCGGAAUAAAAUAUAUACAAAUCUUUCGGGGCAUUCCUCGAACAAAUUUAACUAAGGAAACGACCUCUCACCUCAAAAGAAACUAAAAUCAAAUGCCCUAAAGGUUUUCCUACCCAAGCGUGGCCGGCCUAAGGAUACUACUAGCGGGUCAAUUAGCAAAUGCAAAAAACAAAUUCACAGAAAUUCAAUUGAUUCUAUUUAAUCCAACCCCACAUUCCAUUUCCAACAAAAUUCUUUCAUAUCUUCAUUCUCAAAUGUAUAGAGCAUAUUAUAACGUAAUUCAGUGAAGCCAACCAAGAUCAAAGUCAUAACACAUUAAUUCAACGAUUCGAGGAACAAAUCAAACAAAGUAAAGCUAACCAAGAUUAAAGUUAUAGCAGAUUCAAACUCACAGAUUAAUAAACGGGGAUAAAAGAGAUGAACCUGAAAAAUGAUCUUGCAAUUAAUAUAAUUUUGACAGUCCAUGGAUAGAAUACGCAGCUACAAAUGGAAUUCAAAUAGAAAAUCCAGCUCGAACAAAACCAAUGGACCACACCCCGGACGGCAACUCCAACAAUCGAACACCAAUUUCAACUCUGCUUUAUUUCGGAAGCCAGGACCAAAAUAACAACCUUUUAUUGAUGAACAAAGCUGAAAAUUACAUAUCAAUCGGGCUAAAUAAAGCAACAAUCUUUGGACCGAAAUACCGAAAUUGCAAACCGGAACCUCAAAUCGACACCCGAAAAAGAAAUCGAAACCCAAAUCGGAAGGCAAAAAGUGCCAAUCCUAAAUUGAUAAAAUUAUCAGUAAUGGCUUCCUUGGAGAUUGUGCUCUAAUUCAGUGGAGUCAACCCAUUUUCCUUGUUGGCUUUCAUUAAUUAAGUGGUCACGUGACUGACUUGGUCACAUAGAUGCCUAAAACAUUAAAUUGCAAGUCAAGGAUGUGUAGAAGGAGAUUGGUUCAUAUUGAUUCAUGUCAAUUUUUAUAUAUGGCAUCCUGAGAUUGUGUGAAUGACUUGGAUGGUUUUCAGACUCUAGGAAAAGAAGUUGAGCAACGUGAUAGCGGGGCAUGCCUUUUCCGAUGAAGGUUCAACUGAUCGAUUCUUCAACAUUCAGAGAAUCAAUCCUUCUUCUUGACCAUACUGCUUCAGCGUCCUUUUGAGUCGCACAAAAUUAAUUGCUCAAAAGAUUUUUCAGAACCAAAAUUCCUCCAGUUUUUUGAAUGCUGCCAUUUUUCUUUGUUUUUAGUCUAGGUCUUUGGGUGAGACGUGAUGGCUGGUCGUGAGUUUUUUGGUCUAGAGUUUAAGAUGAUGAUGGAGAAUGGUUGUUAUGUGUGUAGGAGAUGAGGGGACGGCUGGUGGUGUGUUGCGGCUUCUCUCCCUAAAGUUCUAGGGUUUUUCUUUGGUU